rnacentral:misc_RNA from 1 species
GAAAUAGGCAGCUAAAGUCGAACUAGUCUCUCUUAUAAUUGGUUAAUGGAUUAAAAUUUGUUGAUAAUUUAUUUGGAAAUCUUUCUCUUAGAUGAUGUUUGUACAUAAUAUCUAGUUAUUAAUUUUUUCUCUGAACUAAAAUAUUAAUCUAUAAUGGCUUUCAGACAAGAUUCUUGAUGAGAAUGUGCCAAUUUCUAUUUUUAUUCUUAAAUAUGUACUAUAUAAGUCGUAUGGGGAUAUGUCCAUGGAUGAAGGGGAGUUUGAAAGACGAGAGAGACUCAUUGAUGGCCUAAAUAAUAAGAAUACUCAAAUCAAUGACGCCUUCAGUGGCAGAGAAGAGGGUGGAAACAGGCAAGCUCUUCUGGGUGCUGAAAUGGUGACUGCUUCCACGAAUGUUUGGGGAAUGGAAGAGGACGAGAGAACCAGAGAUUUGAGCUUCAAUGAAAUAAAAGAGCAACAGCUAAUGGCUAUUCAAGAACAAGACAAAGGAUUGGACACAUUACACGAUGUUGUUGUUCAGCAGAAGCACAUGGCAGCAAAUAUUGGCCAGGAGCUGGAUUUGCAGAAUGGGGUGCACAACCUGUGUCCUGCCGGCCACAUGCAGCCCUUCCGACUGUUGGCGUGCGGCCCACAAGAUCUUCUGGAUGCAAUAAAACAAAUUUCACAUUUCAUUUUUUUUAAAAAUAAUUGAUGACAUUGUUGAACAUGCUGAUAAUACCAGAGAACGUCUUAUCAAAGAAACUAGACACGUUGCCAUUGUCGAUCGGAAGUCUGGAGAAUGUUGUUUUAAUGAAAGACGUCUUGACUCCAAAAGAAGUCAGAGCAGUUUUUAAAAAAUGUUUAGAAAAUACAGCAUUCUUAAAGUGCACUAGAGUAUCAGAAGAAGCCAAAA